rnacentral:tRNA from 12 species
AAAGAGGGGGGAUAUGGCGAAAUUGGUAGACAGAGUAAGAGGAAAAUCCGUCGACUUUAUAAAUCGUGAGGGUUCAAGU